rnacentral:rRNA from 1 species
UGGGGAAUAUUGCACAAUGGGCGCAAGCCUGAUGCAGCCAUGCCGCGUGUGUGAAGAAGGCCUUCGGGUUGUAAAGCACUUUCAGCGAGGAGGAAGGUGGUGGACUUAAUACGUUCAUCAAUUGACGUUACUCGCAGAAGAAGCACCGGCUAACUCCGUGCCAGCAGCCGCGGUAAUACGGAGGGUGCAAGCGUUAAUCGGAAUUACUGGGCGUAAAGCGCACGCAGGCGGUUUGUUAAGUCAGAUGUGAAAUCCCCGGGCUCAACCUGGGAACUGCAUUUGAAACUGGCAAGCUAGAGUCUCGUAGAGGGGGGUAGAAUUCCAGGUGUAGCGGUGAAAUGCGUAGAGAUCUGGAGGAAUACCGGUGGCGAAGGCGGCCCCCUGGACGAAGACUGACGCUCAGGUGCGAAAGCGUGGGGCAGCAAACAGGAUUAGAUACCCUGGUAGUCCACGCUGUAAACGAUGUCGAUUUGGAGGUUGUGCCCUUGAGGCGUGGCUUCCGGAGCUAACGCGUUAAAUCGACCGCC